AGUGAACGCUGGCGGUAGGCCUAACACAUGCAAGUCGAACGGCAGCACAGUAAGAGCUUGCUCUUACGGGUGGCGAGUGGCGGACGGGUGAGGAAUACAUCGGAAUCUACUUUUUCGUGGGGGAGAACGUAGGGAAACUUACGCUAAUACCGCAUACGGCCUACGGGUGAAAGCAUGGGAUCUUCAGACCUUGGGCGAUUGAAUGAGCCGAUGUCGGAUUAGCUAGUUGGCGGGGUAAAGGCCCACCAAGGCGACGAUCCGUAGCUGGUCUGAGAGGAUGAUCAGCCACACUGGAACUGAGACACGGUCCAGACUCCUACGGGAGGCAGCAGUGGGGAAUAUUGGACAAUGGGCGCAAGCCUGAUCCAGCCAUGCCGCGUGGGUGAAGAAGGCCUUCGGGUUGUAAAGCCCUUUUGUUGGGAAAGAAAAGCAGCAGGUUAAUACCCCGCUGUUCUGACGUUACCCACAGAAUAAGCACCGGCUAACUUCGUG
rnacentral:rRNA from 1 species